UCCUACGGGAGGCAGCAGUGGGGAAUAUUGGACAAUGGGCGCAAGCCUGAUCCAGCAAUGCCGCGUGGGUGAAGAAGGUUUUCGGAUUGUAAAGCCCUUUUGGCGGGGACGAUGAUGACGGUACCCGCAGAAUAAGCUCCGGCUAACUUCGUGCCAGCGGCCGCGGUAAUACGAAGGGGGCUAGCGUUGCUCGGAAUGACUGGGCGUAAAGGGCGCGUAGGCGGACUGCACAGUCAGGCGUGAAAUUCCUGGGCUUAACCUGGGGACUGCGUCUGAGACGUGUGAUCUAGAGUGAGGAAGAGGGUCGUGGAAUUUCCAGUGUAGAGGUGAAAUUCGUAGAUAUUGGAAAGAACACCGGUGGCGAAGGCGGCGACCUGGUCCUUUACUGACGCUGAGGCGCGAAAGCGUGGGGAGCAAACAGGAUUAGAUACCCUGGUAGUCCACGCUGUAAACGAUGUGUGCUUGAUGUUGGGGUGCUUAGCACUUCAGUGUCGGAGCUAACGCGGUAAGCACACCGC
rnacentral:rRNA from 1 species